rnacentral:rRNA from 1 species
UACGUAGGUGGCGAGCGUUGUCCGGAUUUACUGGGCGUAAAGAGCGCGCAGGCGGUCGUUCAAGUCGCGUGUGAAAGCCCCCGGCUCAACUGGGGAGGGUCACGCGAUACUGAUCGACUCGAAGGCAGGAGAGGGUAGUGGAAUUCCCGGUGUAGUGGUGAAAUGCGCAGAUAUCGGGAGGAACACCUAUGGCGAAGGCAGCUCGCUGGGACGUUACUGACGCUGAGACGCGAAAGCGUGGGGAGCAAACAGG